GCAGCUAUAGUUUAGCUGGGAGUAACGUUCGACUGAAGUCACAGUCACUUAUAUCGAAAGGUCCCCCGUUCGAUCCGGGGUAGCUGCA